AUUGAACGCUGGCGGAAUGCUUUACACAUGCAAGUCGAACGGCAGCACGGGGCAACCUGGUGGCGAGUGGCGAACGGGUGAGUAAUACAUCGGAACGUGCCCAGUCGUGGGGGAUAACGUAGCGAAAGUUACGCUAAUACCGCAUACGAUCUAAGGAUGAAAGCGGGGGAUCGCAAGACCUAGCGCGAUUGGAGCGGCCGAUGUCAGAUUAGGUAGUUGGUGGGGUAAAGGCCCACCAAGCCGACGAUCUGUAGCUGGUCUGAGAGGACGACCAGCCACACUGGGACUGAGACACGGCCCAGACUCCUACGGGAGGCAGCAGUGGGGAAUUUUGGACAACGGGCGCAAGCCUGAUCCAGCCAUUCCGCGUGCAGGAUGAAGGCCUUCGGGUUGUAAACUGCUUUUGUACGGAGCGAAAAGGCUCUCUCUAAUACAGGGGGCUCAUGACGGUACCGUAAGAAUAAGCACCGGCUAACUACGUGCCAGCAGCCGCGGUAA
rnacentral:rRNA from 1 species